rnacentral:rRNA from 1 species
GAGGAAUAUUGGUCAAUGGGCGAGAGCCUGAACCAGCCAAGUAGCGUGCAGGAUGACGGCCCUAUGGGUUGUAAACUGCUUUUGUAUGGGGAUAAAGUCAAUCACGUGUGAUUGUUUGCAGGUACCAUACGAAUAAGGACCGGCUAAUUCCGUGCCAGCAGCCGCGGUAAUACGGAAGGUCCGGGCGUUAUCCGGAUUUAUUGGGUUUAAAGGGAGCGUAGGCUGGAGAUUAAGUGUGUUGUGAAAUGUAGACGCUCAACGUCUGAAUUGCAGCGCGAACUGGUUCACUUGAGUAUGCACAACGUAGGCGGAAUUCGUCGUGUAGCGGUGAAAUGCUUAGAUAUGACGAAGAACUCCGAUUGCGAAGGCAGCUUACGGGAGCACAACUGACGCUGAAGCUCGAAGGUGCGGGUAUCAAACAGGAUUAGAUACCCUGGUAGUCCGCACAGUAAACGAUGGAUGCCCGUUGUUAGUUCACUUAAGAAUUAGCGACCAAGCGAAAGCAUUAAGCAUCCCACCUGGGGAGUACGCCGGCAACGGUG